rnacentral:rRNA from 1 species
GUCGAGAAUCUUUCACAAUGGGGGCAACCCUGAUGGAGCGACGCCGCGUGGAGGAUAAGGUCUUCGGAUUGUAAACUCCUGUCAUGCGUGAACAAGGUUGCUUGGUUAAUACCUGGGCAAAUUGAUGGUAACGCAAGAGGAAGAGACGGCUAACUCUGUGCCAGCAGCCGCGGUAAUACAGAGGUCUCAAGCGUUGUUCGGAAUCACUGGGCGUAAAGGGUGCGUAGGUGGCGUGGUAAGUCAGAUGUGAAAGCCCGGGGCUCAACCUAGGAACUGCAUCCGAUACUGCCAUGCUAGAGUACUGGAGAGGUGACUAGAAUUCUCGGUGUAGCAGUGAAAUGCGUAGAUAUCGAGAGGAAUACCAAAGGCGUAGGCAGGUCACUGGACAGUUACUGACACUGAGGCACGAAGGCCAGGGGAGCGAACGGGAUUAGAAACCCCUGUAGUCC